rnacentral:rRNA from 1 species
UCAGGCCUAACACAUGCAAGUCGUACGGGUUAGAUUUAUCUAAUCUAGUGGCGGACGGGUGCGUAACACGUAAGAACCUACCUUUUGGAGGGGGAUAACAUUGGGAAACUGAUGCUAAUACCCCAUAUUGCUGAGGAGUGAAAAGCGGGUGUCCUGAGAGGGAGCCGCGCGCCAGAAGAGGGGCUUGCGGCUGAUUAGCUAGUUGGUGGGGGUAAAGGCCUCCCAAGGCCACGAUCAGUAGCUGGUCUGAGAGGAUGAUCAGCCACACUGGGACUGAGACACGGCCCAGACUCCUACGGGAGGCAGCAGUGAGGAAUUUUCCACAAUGGGCGAAAGCCUGAUGGAGCAAUACCGCGUGGAGGAAAGAGGACCGUGGUUCGUAAACUCCUUUUCUCAGAGAAGAAAAUUGAC